AUUGAACGCUGGCGGAAUGCUUUACACAUGCAAGUCGAACGGCAGCACGGACUUCGGUCUGGUGGCGAGUGGCGAACGGGUGAGUAAUGUAUCGGAACGUGCCCAGUCGAGGGGAUAACGUAGUGAAAAUUACGCUAAUACCGCAUACGAUCUAUGGAUGAAAGCGGGGGAUCGCAAGACCUCGCGCGAUUGGAGCGGCCGAUAUCAGAUUAGGUAGUUGGCGGGGUAAAGGCCCACCAAGCCAACGAUCUGUAGCUGGUCUGAGAGGACGACCAGCCACACUGGAACUGAGACACGGUCCAGACUCCUACGGGAGGCAGCAGUGGGGAAUUUUGGACAAUGGGCGAAAGCCUGAUCCAGCCAUUCCGCGUGCAGGAUGAAGGCCCUCGGGUUGUAAACUGCUUUUGCACAGAACGAAAAGGUUUCUACUAAUACUAGGAGCUCAUGACGGUACUGUAAGAAUAAGCACCGGCUAACUACGUGCCAGCCGCCGCCGUAA
rnacentral:rRNA from 1 species